rnacentral:rRNA from 1 species
UACGUAGGUGGCAAGCGUUGUCCGGAAUUAUUGGGCGUAAAGCGCGCGCAGGCGGCCUCUUAAGUCUGAUGUGAAAGCCCCCGGCUCAACCCGGGGAGGGCCAUUGGAAACUGGGAGGCUUGAGUAUAGGAGAGAAGAGUGGAAUUCCACGUGUAGCGGUGAAAUGCGUAGAGAUGUGGAGGAACACCAGUGGCGAAGGCGACUCUUUGGCCUAUAACUG